UUCCUACGGGAGGCAGCAGUGGGGGAUAUUGGACAAUGGGGGGAACCCUGAUCCAGCGACGCCGCGUGAGUGAAGAAGUAUUUCGGUAUGUAAAGCUCUGUCAGCAGGGAAGAAAGCAAUGACGGUACCUGACCAAGAAGCCCCGGCUAACUACGUGCCAGCAGCCGCGGUAAUACGUAGGGGGCAAGCGUUAUCCGGAUUUACUGGGUGUAAAGGGAGCGUAGACGGUUAUGCAAGUCUGAAGUGAAAGCCCAAGGCUCAACCAUGGGACUGCUUUGGAAACUGUAAAACUGGAGUGCAGGAGG
rnacentral:rRNA from 1 species